UGAGGAAUAUUGGUCAAUGGACGAAAGUCUGAACCAGCCAUGCCGCGUGCAGGAUGACUGCCUUAUGGGUUGUAAACUGCUUUUAUUCAGGAAGAAAUGUGCCCACGAGUUGGGUACUUGACGGUACUGAUUGAAUAAGGAUCGGCUAACUCCGUGCCAGCAGCCGCGGUAAUACGGAGGAUCCAAGCGUUAUCCGGAAUCAUUGGGUUUAAAGGGUCCGUAGGCGGAUAGAUUAGUCAGCGGUGAAAGUUUGUGGCUUAACCAUAAAAUUGCCGUUGAUACUGUUUAUCUUGAAUAAGUGUGAAGUGGUUAGAAUGAGUAGUGUAGCGGUGAAAUGCAUAGAUAUUACUCGGAAUACCAAUUGCGAAGGCAGAUCACUAACACUUUAUUGACGCUGAGGGACGAAAGCGUGGGGAGCAAACA
rnacentral:rRNA from 1 species